UACGUAGGGUGCGAGCGUUGUCCGGAAUUACUGGGCGUAAAGAGCUCGUAGGUGGUUUGUCGCGUUGUUCGUGAAAACUCACAGCUUAACUGUGGGCGUGCGGGCGAUACGGGCAGACUGGAGUACUGCAGGGGAGACUGGAAUUCCUGGUGUAGCGGUGGAAUGCGCAGAUAUCAGGAAGAACACCCGUGGCGAAGGCGGCUCUCUGGAACGCAACUGACGCUGAGGUGCGAAAGCGUGGGGAGCAAACAGG
rnacentral:rRNA from 1 species